GACGGGCCGGCCGGGCACGGGGCGGUGGCGCUUGUCGUGCCGGUGCGGCGGGCCGACGGGACCGGGGCGGUGCUGAAGCUGCAGCCCGUCG
rnacentral:tRNA from 1 species